rnacentral:rRNA from 1 species
GACGAACGCUGGCGGCGUGCCUAACACAUGCAAGUCGAACGGAAAGGCCCUGCUUUUGUGUGGUGCUCGCGUGGCGAACGGGUGAGUAACACGUGAGUCACCUGCCCUUGACUUUGGGAUAACUUCAGGAAACUGGGGAUAAUACCGGAUAGGAGCUCCUGAUGCAUGGUGGGGGUUGGAAAGCUUCGGCGGAUGGGGAUGGACUCGCGGUUUAUCAGCUUGUUGGUGGGGUAGUGGCUUACCAAGGCAUUGACGGGUAGCCGGCCUGAGAGGGUGACCGGGCACAGUGGGACUGGGAUACGGCCCAGACGCCUACGGGAGGCAGCAGUGGGGAAUAUUGCACAAUGGGCGGAAGCCUGAUGCAGCAACGCCGCGUGCGGGAUGACGGCCUUCGGGUUGUAAACCGCUUUCGCCUGUGACGAAGCGUGAGUGACGGUAAUGGGUAAAGAAGCACCGGCUAACUACGU